UUUAAAUUCUAUGGCAUUGUUCAACUCAGCCUCUUAUGUUCCUGUAUCAUCUGCCAUGAGAAAGGCAUGUCUCAGAAGGGGGCUUCCCUUUAGGCUUGAGUCCUAGGAAAGGGGAUACAUGGAGAAGACCUGAACUUGACCCACAGCCUGAAGCAGAGAUUCAUCAGCCAGCCUAAUCUGCAAACAUGCAACAAGGGUGAGCAAACGGGUUGAGAAAGGCUAAGUCACUCCACUUAGGUCACAUGGCGAUCAUGGAGCACAAGACAUCACCUGAAAUAACCAGGGAUGAUAGAAUUUGGGAUCACAACUUCAUUCCAAACGUUUGAUACAGGCAAUAAUGGCCCAACAGGCCCACAAUCUUUCCAGGAAUGAUCAGACAACUCCUCAGCUCUUUGCUUCCCCUGCCCCCAUGGUGCAUCCCUGCAUUUCACCUGUCCUGCCUUCCCAGCAGUCAGGAGAUGGCUCCCUGAGGAUGAAUAAGAAAGGGAAUUUCAUCCUCCAUGCAUCGUGCUCAGUGCCAGGAUGGGCAUCCUGAUGAGCCAGGAUCUGGGAGCAAGUGCAAAGGGGAUGAAAUCAUACAAAACUCAGUACUAAAAAAAAAAAAAAAAAAAAAGGAAAAUCAAAUAAAAGCAAAAUAUUUUCUGCCUAUUUUUUCCUUGCAAACUUCUCAAUUCUAUACAAAUAUUUGAUGAUUGUAUUUUCAAAUAAAGAAAUGAAAAUGGAAAUAAUGGAAAUAUGGAAAUAUCCAAAGUGAAAUAUGAAAGCCACUCUUCACAGCUGUCUGUCCAUUGAUUCCCCAUUGAUUCCCCUCUCAAUAUACAGGUACAUUUAUACCUGUCUUUUAUCAAUAAACAGGAUGCUAUCUUCAUUGCUAUUUAAUUUUUUAAAUAUAAUAAUAGGACAGAGAUACUUCCAUGUGAGGACACAUAUCCUAUACCAAAAUUCAUAGAGCUACAUCUCGUUCUUUUCAACAACUAUAUAAUAUUCCACAGAAUGGAAG
rnacentral:lncRNA from 10 species